rnacentral:rRNA from 1 species
GACAGAGGUCCCGAGCGUUAGGCGGAAUCACUGGGCUUAAAGCGUGUGUAGGCGGCGGCCUAAGUACCUUGUGAAAUCCCACGGCUCACCCGUGGAACUGCUCGGUAUACUGGGUCGCUUGAGCCACUUAGGGGCUACCGGAACAAAUGGUGGAGCGGUGAAAUGCGUAGAUAUCGGAAGGAACAUCAGUGGCGAAAGCGACUUCCUGGACCAAUACUGACGCUCAUGCACGAAAGCGUGGGGAUCAAACAGG